rnacentral:tRNA from 1 species
GCGAGAGUGGCGGAAUUGGUAGACGCACCAGAUUUAGGUUCUGGCAGUUUCGGCUGUGCGGGUUCGAGUCCCGCCUCUCGCACCA